UUUUCUGUGUUGGUACCUACCAAGUUAUUUUUUCUCUCUGUCCCUGUAUCUUGUAAUGAAGGGUGCAAAUCCCUUUUCACCUGGGAAUGUCAGAGGGAAAAAUAUUUAACUUCUUAAAUCUCCUGAAAUCUUGGAGUUACCACCUGCCAGACAUUUUGGGGACUGCUUCAUGUGAAAAAGGAAGCUAAAGUCUUCUUGUUUUCCACUAUUUCCACUCACCUAGGGAAUACCUAGGAAUCCCAGCCUUGGUAGUCAGAGGAGCUGAAGAUUUAUUAUCUCCCUGUUCCAUGGAUGAGCAGCAUCCUGGGAGCAAACAAGAAGUCAGGCAGAUGAUAUUGUAUCUUGGUGCCAGAGAACAUCAGGGGUUCUGUGAGGCUCAGCACUGCCCUGGCUGCUGUCUUUACAUGUGUAGCUCUUCCUAGCACAUUCCAGAGGCCAGAGUCUGGCAAUCUGCCCCAUAGGCAGGUUUGCAAUCUGGCAAACCUACUGUUUCAGCAGACAUUUGACUUAAAGUGCCUGGAUCAAAACACCCUCCUUAUUCCCAUUAUGUCGAUGGUUUGCUACUUCUCUACAACAGCAAAUCAUAAAACAACCUGAGCCUACCUACUGCACAUGACAGACAAGUAACAAGGUAGAACAUGAAGAAAAUGCCAUUUCUGCUCCUCCUUGCUACCUGCUGUCAGAAAGGAGCUAGCAGGUAAGCAGCUUUUAAUUUGAUUUCACUCUAUCUGAGUCAAGGUGGACUAAUCUGCAUAUAAAUGUAAUAAUGUAAGUCCUUGAUCCCUCCCUCACAGACACAGAAUAUAGCUUAAAAUAUGGCUCUUAAUAUCCAGGGAGAAUAAAAUUACCCUGCCCAAGGUUAGAGAGAAAUAUGUAUCUAGUGAAAAGAUCAGGGGACACUGAAGCACUCUACAGCUACUGUCCUCUAAACUUAUAUCCACAUUUUUAGUACCUGUGAAUCCAACUGUGUUGUACUGUAUUUACAGGUUGCCAAUAAAAUCCAGUUUAUGGGAGGAUGGAAAUGAUUGCUCCAGAAGCAGGAACAGUUUCCAUGCUGUAUUAGAGGAGCUCGUGCCUUUCCCUUCAUCUCCCUUUGUCCUCAGUGAAAUGCCACAGCUGCAAUGUGAACUCAGGUCCUCACACUCUGCCAAACCUCCAAAUCAGCCAACUGCUGCAAACAUCAUCUGCAAACGUGUGUUCACCUGCAGCUACCAGUGACCCACUGAGCCUAAGGAAAAGGAUAAUGCCAAUGUCUUCUGAGGUGAUUUGUAGUGACACAAGCCCAGCUAGGUAACACUUGCUAUUAUAUAUAUAUGCCAGUGUGGUAUUUAUUUGCCUUUCACUUUGAUGAAUCAUAGCUUUAGAGAUUAUCUCAGUAAAUCAGUGACACCUGCAUAAGAUAAAAAAUAAUUUUUCCUCAUAGUAGAAGGAAAGGUAACAUAUGGCCAAACUUUUAGGAAGUCAGUAUAGGCUGUCUGCAGCAGCAGCAAUAGGAAUUGUGUAUCACAACAAAUGCCAUUUGCACAUGGCCUGAUGCAUUCUCAACUUUCUGAAAAGUCAGGCUAGAAAUCUAGAAAUAUUCAAAACUAAAAACUAAUCCAGAAUUUAUAGCAAUGUAAGUGUAUUGACUUCAGCAGUCUUCUUUCAGCUUAUGAAGACCAAAUUCUAAUUAAUCCAUGGGAAAGGAAAUACCAAAAUGACGGUAAGUAUAAUGAUUUGGGGUUCUAACACUGGGUCAGUAAGAGGAAAAAAAUCACAUUGUACCUCACCUUCCUCCCCAGUAUUUCCUGAGUAACCAGCCUAUGGAUUAGGCAUGCUAAAUUUGCAUAUUUACACCUUUGGUUUUCUAUCACAAGUGUUGCCCUGUUAGCAGUAUUUAGGUACAUGUUCAUGUCUAGAAAACUCAAAUAUAUUCACUGGUAAACAGCUCAUAGAAAAUGCAAUAGAAUGUCUAGAGCAAAAGUUAUGGAAGUUACAACUAAUGUAUUUUAAAGACUGUCUCGAGAACAGCAAUUGAAAACACUAUUUAAAAAUUUGGUAAUAUUAUUAUUUUGUCAUUAUGUCUCUUUUUUUUUUGAAGAUGACAUAUGAAGAGUGGGAAUAUGUUCAUAGUAAAUUAAUGAUGGCUUUAUUUUACCAGUCAUGGUCCAAUUCCAGAUGAGUGCCACUGUGAGAAGAGUGGCUAAUUUGAUGUAGCAAAGGUCAGAAAACCCAGCAGACUGAAUCUAUACAAGGGUGACAUUCCUGAAUGUGACAGAAGAGCUUGCUACAUGUGAUAAAUAAAUUGGAAAGAGAUUGUUAUUAGUAUUAUGUU
ensembl:lncRNA